rnacentral:rRNA from 1 species
GUUGUAUGGUUAAGUGACUAAGCGUACACGGUGGAUGCCUUGGCAGUCAGAGGCGAUGAAAGACGUAGUAACUUGCGAUAAGCCCAGAUUAGGUAGUAACAACCAUUUGAGUCUGGGAUUUCUGAAUGGGGAAACCCACUUACAUAAGUAAGUAUCAUUAACUGAAUACAUAGGUUAAUGAGGCGAACCGGGGGAACUGAAACAUCUAAGUACCCCGAGGAAAAGAAAUCAACCGAGAUUCCGAAAGUAGCGGCGAGCGAAAUUGGACUAGCCCUUAAGCUUUACACGCGUUAGACGAACGGUCUGGAAAGUCCGACGAUACAGGGUGAUAGUCCCGUAGUUGACGACGUGUGUUCAGUGAAAUCGAGUAGGGCGGGACACGUGAUAUCCUGUCUGAAUAUGGGGGGACCAUCCUCCAAGGCUAAAUACUACUGACUGACCGAUAGUGAACCAGUACCGUGAGGGAAAGGCGAAAAGAACCCCUGUGAGGGGAGUGAAAUAGAACCUGAAACCGUGUACGUACAAGCAGUAGGAGCAGGCUUUGUCCUGUGACUGCGUACCUUUUGUAUAAUGGGUCAGCGACUUAUAUUCAGUGGCAAGGUUAACCAUCUAGGGGAGCCGUAGGGAAACCGAGUCUUAACUGGGCGUUCAGUCUCUGGAUAUAGACCCGAAACCAGGUGAUCUAGCCAUGGGCAGGUUGAAGGUUGAGUAACAUCAACUGGAGGACCGAACCGACUAAUGUUGAAAAAUUAGCGGAUGACUUGUGGCUAGGGGUGAAAGGCCAAUCAAACCUGGAGAUAGCUGGUUCUCCCCGAAAGCUAUUUAGGUAGCGCCUCGGACGAAUACUACUGGGGGUAGAGCACUGUUAAGGCUAGGGGGUCAUCCCGACUUACCAACCCUUUGCAAACUCCGAAUACCAGUAAGUACUAUCCGGGAGACACACGGCGGGUGCUAACGUCCGUCGUGGAGAGGGAAACAACCCAGACCGCCAGCUAAGGUCCCAAAUUACUACUAAGUGGGAAACGAUGUGGGAAGGCUCAGACAGCCAGGAUGUUGGCUUAGAAGCAGCCAUCAUUUAAAGAAAGCGUAAUAGCUCACUGGUCGAGUCGGCCUGCGCGGAAGAUGUAACGGGGCUAAGUAGUAAACCGAAGCUGCGGCAAUAUACUUUUGUAUAUUGGGUAGGGGAGCGUUCUGUAAGCGGUUGAAGGUGUGUGGUAACGCAUGCUGGACGUAUCAGAAGUGCGAAUGCUGACAUGAGUAACGAUAAAGGGGGUGAAAAACCUCCUCGCCGGAAGACCAAGGGUUCCUGUCCAACGUUAAUCGGGGCAGGGUAAGUCGACCCCUAAGGCGAGGCCGAAAGGCGUAGUCGAUGGGAAACGGGUUAAUAUUCCCGUACUUCUUACAAUUGCGAUGGGGGGACGGAGAAGGCUAGGUGGGCCUGGCGACGGUUGUCCAGGUUCAAGUGCGUAGGCUUAAGAGUUAGGUAAAUCCGGCUCUUUUUAAGGCUGAGACACGACGUCGAGCACCUACGGGUGUGAAGUCAUUGAUGCCAUGCUUCCAGGAAAAGCCUCUAAGCUUCAGAUUGUAAGGAAUCGUACCCCAAACCGACACAGGUGGUCGGGUAGAGAAUACCAAGGCGCUUGAGAGAACUCGGGUGAAGGAACUAGGCAAAAUGGUACCGUAACUUCGGGAGAAGGUACGCUCUUGAUGGUGAAGUCCCUUGCGGAUGGAGCUGACGAGAGUCGCAGAUACCAGGUGGCUGCAACUGUUUAUUAAAAACACAGCACUGUGCAAAAUCGUAAGAUGACGUAUACGGUGUGACGCCUGCCCGGUGCCGGAAGGUUAAUUGAUGGGGUUAGACUUCGGUCGAAGCUCUUGAUCGAAGCCCCGGUAAACGGCGGCCGUAACUAUAACGGUCCUAAGGUAGCGAAAUUCCUUGUCGGGUAAGUUCCGACCUGCACGAAUGGCGUAAUGAUGGCCACGCUGUCUCCACCCGAGACUCAGUGAAAUUGAAAUCGCUGUGAAGAUGCAGUGUACCCGCGGCUAGACGGAAAGACCCCGUGAACCUUUACUACAGCUUGGCACUGAACAUUGACCCUACAUGUGUAGGAUAGGUGGGAGGCUUUGAAGCACGUACGCCAGUAUGUGUGGAGCCGUCCUUGAAAUACCACCCUUGUAGUGUUGAUGUUCUAACGUCGACCCCUAAUCGGGGUUGCGGACAGUGCCUGGUGGGUAGUUUGACUGGGGCGGUCUCCUCCCAAAGAGUAACGGAGGAGCACGAAGGUGGGCUAAUCACGGUUGGACAUCGUGAGGUUAGUGCAAUGGCAUAAGCCCGCUUGACUGCGAGAAUGACAAUUCGAGCAGGUGCGAAAGCAGGUCAUAGUGAUCCGGUGGUUCUGAAUGGAAGGGCCAUCGCUCAACGGAUAAAAGGUACUCCGGGGAUAACAGGCUGAUACCGCCCAAGAGUUCAUAUCGACGGCGGUGUUUGGCACCUCGAUGUCGGCUCAUCACAUCCUGGGGCUGAAGUCGGUCCCAAGGGUAUGGCUGUUCGCCAUUUAAAGUGGUACGCGAGCUGGGUUUAGAACGUCGUGAGACAGUUCGGUCCCUAUCUGCCGUGGGCGUUGGAAGAUUGAAGGGGGCUGCUCCUAGUACGAGAGGACCGGAGUGGACGAACCUCUGGUGUUCGGGUUGUGUCGCCAGACGCAUUGCCCGGUAGCUAAGUUCGGAAUCGAUAACCGCUGAAAGCAUCUAAGCGGGAAGCGAGCCCUGAGAUGAGUCUUCCCUGAUACUUUAAGUAUCCUAAAGGGUUGUCGGAGACUACGACGUUGAUAGGUCAGGUGUGUAAGUGCUGUGAGGCAUUGAGCUAACUGA